UGACUGAGAGUAAUAGGUGGUGUUACCACUGUUAGAAGCAACCCACUCCAGUCCUUUUCCAGGAGCCUGUCUGAUCCAGGCCAUCCAGUAGCUACUGAAUGACAAUCCAGA